UAAUUUUAAUGUCGCACAUGCACCGACACAUCUUUCUGGGUGCCCGGUUUAUCCUUGGUAAGGCGGGUUGAGAGAUGGGGUGUAUGGAGGCCUAAC
rnacentral:sRNA from 1 species